AUACUUACCUGGACAGGGUCAAUGGGCGAUCAAGAAGGUCCAUGGCCUAGAAAAGUGACUUUCAUUGCACUUUGAAUGGGUGCUUUUCUAAGGUCUGUCCUAGUGACAGAGCCUAUGUCAUAAUUUGUUGAAGUGGGGGCCUGCGUUCGCGCGGCCCCUAU
rfam:Vigna angularis cultivar Jingnong 6 chromosome 9, whole genome shotgun sequence.